GAUGAACGCUAGCUACAGGCUUAACACAUGCAAGUCGAACGGCGAGGCGAACGGGUGAGUAACACGUGGGUGGUCUGCCUUGCACUUCGGGAUAAGCUUGGGAAACUGGGUCUAAUACCGGCUAGGGCAAGAUGAGCUCGCAGCCUAUCAGCUUGUGGGUGGGGUAAUGGCCGACCAAGGCGUCGCCGGGUAGCCGGCCUGAGAGGGUGUACGGCCACAUUGGGACUGAGAUACGGACCAGACGCCGACGGGAGGCAGCAGUGGGGAACAUUGCACAAUGGGCGGAAGCCUGAUGCAGCGACGCCGGGUGGGGGAGGAAGGUUUUCGGGUUGUAAACGUCUUUCGACAGGGACGCGGUACCUGUAUAAGAAGCACCGGCUAACUACGUGCCAGCAGCCGCGGUAAUAC
rnacentral:rRNA from 1 species